rnacentral:rRNA from 1 species
GAUGAACGCUAGCGGCAGGCCUAAUACAUGCAAGUCGAGGGGUAAGGCUCUUUCGGGAGUACACGACCGGCGCACGGGUGCGUAACGCGUAUGCAACCUACCUUUAACUGGGGAAUAGCCCCGAGAAAUCGGGAUUAAUACCUCAUAACACUGCGAAGUGGCAUCACUUUGCAAUUAAAGCUCCGGCGGUUAAAGAUGGGCAUGCGUGACAUUAGCUAGUUGGUGGGUAACGCCCACCAAGGCUACGAUGUCUAGGGGUUCUGAGAGGAUGAUCCCCCACACUGGUACUGAGACACGGACCAGACACCUACGGGUGGCUG